rnacentral:rRNA from 1 species
UGGGGAAUAUUGCACAAUGGGCGAAAGCCUGAUGCAGCAACGCCGCGUGAGUGAUGAAGGCCUUCGGGUUGUAAAGCUCUGUCUUUUGGGACGAUAAUGACGGUACCAAAGGAGGAAGCCACGGCUAACUACGUGCCAGCAGCCGCGGUAAUACGUAGGUGGCAAGCGUUGUCCGGAUUUACUGGGCGUAAAGGAUGCGUAGGCGGAUUUUUAAGUGAGAUGUGAAAUACCCGGGCGUUAACUUGGGUGCUGCAUUUCAAACUGGGAAUCUAGAGUGCGGGAGAGGAGAAUGGAAUUCCUAGUGUAGCGGUGAAAUGCGUAGAGAUUAGGAAGAACACCAGUGGCGAAGGCGAUUCUCUGGACCGUAACUGACGCUGAGGCGUGAAAGCGUGGGUAGCAAACAGGAUUAGAUACCCUGGUAGUCCACGCCGUAAACGAUGAGUACUAGGUGUAGGAGGUAUCGACCCCUUCUGUGCCGCAGUUAACACAAUAAGUACUCCGCCUGGGAAGUACGAUCGCAAGAUUAAAAACUC